rnacentral:rRNA from 1 species
AGAACGAACGCUGGUGGCGUGUCUUAUACAUGCAAGUCGAGCGGUCCGCAAGGAUAGCGGCGAACGGGUGAGUAACGCGUAAGCAAUCUGCCCCGCAUAUUGGGAUAGCCGUGCCAACGCGCGGAUAAUACCGAAUAACGUGGCCCCGGACAUCCGGGGUUGACGAAAGAUUCAUCGAUGCGGGAUGAGCUUGCGUCCGAUUAGCUAGUUGGCGGGCAACGGCCCACCAAGGCGACGAUCGGUAGCCGGCCUGAGAGGGUGAUCGGCCACAUUGGGACUGAGAUACGGCCCAGACUCCUACGGGAGGCAGCAGUAGGGAAUAUUGCACAAUGGGGGAAACCCUGAUGCAGCAACGCCAACGUGUGGGAAGAAGCAUUUCGGUGUGUAAACCACUGUCGUGAGGGAAUAAUACGCGUCUUCGGGCGCGGGAGAAUGUACCUCGAAAGGAAGCACCGGCAAACUUCGUGCCAGCAGCGGC